GAUAGCCACUGGAAACGGUGAUUAAUACCCCAUAAGACCACGCCAUCGCAUGAUGAAGUGGUAAAAACUGAGGUGGUAUAGGAUGGACUCGCGUCUGAUUAGCUAGUUGGUGAGGUAACGGCUCACCAAGGCGACGAUCAGUAACCGGCCUGAGAGGGUGAACGGUCACACUGGAACUGAGACACGGUCCAGACUCCUACGGGAGGCAGCAGUGGGGAAUAUUGCACAAUGGGGGAAACCCUGAUGCAGCGAUGCCGCGUGAACGAAGAAGGCUUUCGAGUCGUAAAGUUCUGUUCUUAGGGAAGAAAAUGACGGUACCUAAGGAGAAAGCACCGGCUAAAUACGUGCCAGCAGCCGCGGUAAUACGUAUGGUGCAAGCGUUGUCCGGAAUUUCUGGGCGUAAAGAGUUCGUAGGCGGUCAAAUAAGUCAGAAGUGAAAGGCUACGGCUCAACCGUAGUAAGCUUUUGA
rnacentral:rRNA from 1 species